CUUCGGGGAAAUAAACAAACCUGCCUUUUCUCCUUAAAAACCCUGCCUACCAGGGCCAUCCAUGGAGCCAGCUGUCUUCAUGGAGAGAUGAAGGAACCCCGUCGUGCCCUUUGUGACCCACAGAGGGCAGCCACAGGCGACUUGACUCCUGGAAAACUGCCAAGGAGAUGGAAUUUGAGUGUUCCUUGGAGAUUCAGAGAUGAGAAAAUGAAGAUUGACAAUAAAAAGAAGACAAGAGAGGAAACUAAAUGACAUGGUCACAGGAAUGAAGAAUCAGAAGACUUGAACCUAGGCCUUCUUCAAGUCAACUAUCAUUUAUUAAAUGCUUACUAUGUGCUAGACUAUCCUAUGUGCCAAGGAUAUGCCUUCCAAAAGAAAAGAAUAAAAAAAUAGUUCCUGUUCUCAAAGAAUUAAAAUCCAAGACUCUAUCCCUGGACUACAUUAUUUUUAUAAAGGAUUACUUAUAUAUGGAGUGUUCAGGGAGGACUAGGACCUCUGGUAAGAGGUUUUGUCAAACUCUUUGCAGAGCUGCUCAUCCAUCUUUGGUGUCCAUCUGUCACUGAACUCUCAGCUGUGCCUCCAAGAAGCUCAUCCUA